ACAGGAGCUUUGAAUAUAUUAAAACAGAGCUUUGAAUACUAACAUAGAGAUACUUUCAGAUAUGCAUAUCACCCACUAAUUUCAUUUUUCUGCUGAGAAGAAUGAGCUUCGUGAUGAGAAGCAGAGGCUCAAGGCUGGCAAAGAGAAGUUGGAGCAGCAAGUGAAAGCAAUGAAUGCUCAACCAGACUCCCUGCCUCAUCCCUCUGCAAUGUUGGGUACAUUUGCUGCUCAAGCUGAUGCCUUUCAUUGGUUGUCCCAACAUGGCAAUUCAUGGCACCUGCUGUAGUUGACACAUCACAGGAUCAUGUAUUACGCAAUUCAGGUAUAUGGAUAUUGCGGUUGGAAAACCAAAUUUGGCAACUAUGGUGCUCUUGGAAUAGCAUCUUAAGCAUUGGGCUUGUAAGAUCUUCUGAAAGAUCAUAAGGAUUUGAAAGUUGAAGUGGUAGGAUGCUUGACAGGGGGAGGAUCUUGAGGUUCUUGGGAAGAGGAUCUUGAGGUUUAUCAUUCUGUAUUCAUCAUCUUCCUUUCAAGUUUUGGUCUAUGGUUUCCAUUCCUGUCUGCCCCAUGCCCCCAUGGUUCUACUUCCUCUUGGAACUUGGCUCGAGAUUGUGCUUUUUCUACUCAACUUGCUCCCUGAUUGAAAAUGUCUUCAUUUGGCAACAGAGGCCCAGAGAGCUCUAAAGGGAAGCUAUUUUUUCCCCACUAAAGGAAACCUUGGGGCAGAGCCAGAGCUUGAAAGGGGUGCCCCCCUCAAGAGUCGUUUGGGUAAUCAUUCUGAUUUCUGUAUUUUAA